UAGCGGCGGACGGGUGAGUAACACGUGGGUAACCUGCCUCAAAGUGGGGGAUAGCCUUCCGAAAGGAAGAUUAAUACCGCAUAAUAUCAUGGCGCUGCAUGGCGCAGUGAUUAAAGGAGCAAUCCGCUUUGAGAUGGACCCGCGGCGCAUUAGCUAGUUGGUGAGGUAACGGCCCACCAAGGCGACGAUGCGUAGCCGACCUGAGAGGGUGAUCGGCCACAUUGGAACUGAGACACGGUCCAGACUCCUACGGGAGGCAGCAGUGGGGAAUAUUGCACAAUGGGGGAAACCCUGAUGCAGCAACGCCGCGUGAGUGAUGAAGGCCUUCGGGUCGUAAAGCUCUUUGAUCAGGGACGAUAAUGACGGUACCUGAAAAACAAGCCACGGCUAACUGAG
rnacentral:rRNA from 1 species